GACGAACGCUGGCGGCGUGCUUAACACAUGCAAGUCGAACGGAAAGGCCCUGCUUGUGGGGGAUGCUCGAGUGGCGAACGGGUGAGUAACGCGGGAGUAACCUGCCCUUGACUUUGGUAUAACUUCAGGAAACUGUGUCUAAUACCGGAUAGGAGCUCCUGCUGCAUGGUGGUGGUUGGAAAGUUUCGGCGGUUGGGGAUGGACUCGCGGCUUAUCAGCUGGUUGGUGGGGUAGUGGCUUACCAAGGCUUUGGCGGGUAGCCGGCCUGAGAGGGUGACCGGCACAAUUGGGACUGAGAUCCGGCCAGGCUCCCUCCGGGAGGAAGAAGUGGGGAAUAUUGCACAAUGGGCGGAAGCCGGAUCAAGCACGGCCGCGUGCGGGAUGCCGGCCUUCGGGUUGUAACCCGCUUCCGCAUGUGCCGAAGCGUGAGUGACGGUAAUGGGUAAAGAAGCACCGGCUAACUACGUG
rnacentral:rRNA from 1 species